CCCUGUGAGGGGUGGAGUUGACCGGUACUAAUAGGCCGAGGGCUUGUCCUCAGUUG
rnacentral:rRNA from 1 species